AAGUCGUAACAAGGUUUCCGUAGGUGAACCUGCGGAAGGAUCAUUAACACGUGAAAACGUUAUAUUCCAACUUAUCAACUAACACGACGAACUGUGCUCCCUGUGCCUUUUCCAAAGCUGUCGACUUGUGAUUUGUAGUGGGGUCCCCGGCGAUAUGAAUUUAUUCAUAUAACGGUUUAAAGGGCAUAAUCCGAGAGGCUUGCCUUUUCUAGAAAGAGGGGCUUUGGAACUGUUUGUGCAGGCUAUCCUUCAAUCCUACGUGGCUACCCCUUGGUCCCUGGAUUGGAUACCCAUACCUAAUUUCACCCUAUUUUACCAAUUUUAUUCAAUGAGAGAAAUCUCAUCUUGAAUACUAAGAUUUAUCUUAACUAAGCACAACUCUUAGCAAUGGAUAUCUUGGUUCUC
rnacentral:misc_RNA from 1 species